AGGAAAAUAAAAGAAGAAAAAUCACGAAAACAAAACCAUUAAUAGGAAGACCACAAAGACUCCAUGAAUCUACAAAACCCUCUGUUUUGACUUUUCUGCUUGCACCUAAUGACAAAGCACAAAACACAAAACCCUUGUGACCAAAUAUAUUAAAACUCUGGAAUAAUGGUUGAAUUGGUUUGGAGAGGCUGAAGAAGCAUUUUCCUCAUUUUCCUUCACACUGCUUCAUCAGAUGAAACUGAGUAAACAUGAUGGAAGCACUGAAGUUUCUUAGAAAGCAUGUCUGGAGCUCUGGAGUUUACAUUUUUUAGAAAGCAUUACAAGUCUGAGAUCAUUGUUCCUGUCACUAAACAACAAGGGAAAACUACUCAUCUUCUUCAGCUGCUCAGUAAAAGGGAAAAUUAUGAUUCACACACUUCUGCUGCCUUCUAGAGCAGUGAUAAACAGAGUAGUGUGGUUUGGUAUGCUACCAGGAAACAGACUCACCAGAAGAGUCUGGUUCUGCGCUACUGGAAGGUAAAAGGAUUCAAGCUUGCAAGGAUACAGUGUACUGCUGCAACUGUAAAUGACCAUUAAAAUUUAAGUUUAAAGAAGGUAAAUAGCAUCACAUGUUAUCAUACUUCUGAUGGGCAGACUGUAUAGCACGUUAACAUUUUAAAGCAUUUAUCCUUAAUGGAACGUUGAUAUGCUGGAUAAAUUUCUGCUAUGAAAUUCUAUUGUGUAAUCCCGUUAUGGCUCGUGGGGUUGCAAUACUGUAACCUAAACCUAGAUCCUAGGCAGUAUGAAAGGGAAGAUUUCACUCUUCUUUAAUUUAUCAAGAUAUGAUAGCAAGCAAAUCUAGCUUCACUGUUUCCAGCAAAGUGGGUGCUGAUUUUCACCAGCUUGAUACAUGAAAUGAAGGCAAUUUGCAUAGCUGUUGCUCUAUACCAUUUUGUCAUUUGAGAUGAACAAUUCUAUACAUAAAUAACCAAGUAUGUUUCUCUUGACAGGAUCCUGACUCCGAAGGAAGUAUUAGAAAAAAUUAGGUUAAUUACCUAUUAUACAGUUUAUUAUCUUAAAAUCAAUUUAUUUAAAGCAUGUAAUGGUUGAAAUUAAUGAAUUAUUUCAAAACAAUUGUUGUAAAAAGGACACAAAUUUCAGAGUAGCCAAUGUGGUUUUCUUCAAAAUCUUUCUGAGUGAGGCAUUCCAAUUCUAGGUACUGAACAGCUUGGGGAUGUUGGCAGUAUUUGCAAAAUAAAGGAUGAAAUGAAAGAGCGGACAGUAUGCAAAACACAGAUCUUUAAAUUUACUAACUGUUACAGAGGCAAAAAAAAAGUUAAUUUUGAGAGUAAUGCUACAUUGAUCAGCUGAAAUAGUUCUUCAUUUUCUUAGUUCUGCCUAUAGUUUGAAAAACAAUAAAAACAAAAAACCAACAACCCAAAUCACACAUUUGUGAAUCUUAUCAAGAAGCUCAGGAAGGAGGCUGAAAUUACAUAAAUAAAUAUAAGCAGUUAGUCUAUCUCUGUCACCAUGUUUGGGAGCAGCAUUUAGAAAUGAACUAUUAUAUAGCUAGUAACAGCAUCAAAAUGACUGUUUGGGUCUAAUGUUCAGAAGCCUGAAUCAGAAAUAACUGAAUCUAAACUAACUCAUGGCGAUUAAAGUGAUAAAACCAGCACAAGGUUUGAAUCAGAGAGAUCUGCAGCCAGUGUACUUUCAAUCAAGACAACAUUUUUUGUUUAUGGUAACAGAGAAUCUUCUUAUCAAAAGUUUACAACAAUUGUAUCAUAUACACGAUAUUCACCAAAUAUAACAUGGAAGUAUAUUUAGCCACAGUUUUAAUAAUCUCAUUUCCCUGGAUAUUUUGAGAGUCUGUUGAGGUUCAGGUUGUAACAGCUAUCUGAACACAUUUGAGGAUUAUAUUUAUAAUUGUAAAUGUGAAGGCUUUCUGUGAAUGACAAGCUAGCUUUUCUGUUACAGAUCUUUAUCACCAAAUGUAGCUCCCUUGUCAUAAGGGAAACAGAGAUAAUGCAACAAUAUGCUAUGUACUGGCUAUGAGGAUUUGGGGAAUCAGCACAAGAGCCUGUACAGUGCAAUACAUUGGCAAAUGACUCUAAAGCUGACUGAAGAUUUUCAGAAGAAUCUCAUGAUAUUGAAAAGCAAAAUGAGCAGACAAAAUUCAGUGUUAAGAAGUGUACUUGAAUAAAUGUAUACUAAGAAGAUCGAUGCAGUGAUGUAUUCUCAGUUAUUAUGCUAUAGUCAGACCUCUGAAAACAUCAGCUCAGUGUUGCAUGGCAGUCAAUGUGGCAAAUAGAUUAUGAGAUGUUAUUAGAAAAGGAACAGAGAAAUAGGAAACAUCA